rnacentral:rRNA from 1 species
CUCAAGAGAUGCAUGUCUGUAUGUAUACUGCUGCGAAUGGCUCAUUAAAUCAGUUAUCGUUUAUUUGAUAGUACCUUACUACAUGGAUAACCGUGGUAAUUCUAGAGCUAAUACAUGCURAAAACCCCAACUUCGGAAGGGGUGUAUUUAUUAGAUAAAAAACCAAUGCCCUUCGGGGCUCCUUGGUGAAUCAUAAUAACUUCACGAAUCGCAUGGCCUUGCGCCGGCGAUGGUUCAUUCAAAUUUCUGCCCUAUCAACUUUCGAUGGUAGGRUAGWGGCCUACCAUGGUUUCAACGGGUAACGGGGAAUUAGGGUUCGAYUCCGGAGAGGGAGCCUGAGAAACGGCUACCACAUCCAAGGAAGGCAGCAGGCGCGCAAAUUACCCAAUCCCGACACGGGGAGGUAGUGACAAUAAAUACUGAUACAGGGCUCUUUUGGGUCUUGUAAUUGGAAUGAGUACAAUUUAAAUCCCUUAACGAGGAACAAUUGGAGGGCAAGUCUGGUGCCAGCAGCCGCGGUAAUUCCAGCUCCAAUAGCGUAUAUUAAAGUUGUUGCAGUUAAAAAGCUCGUAGUUGAACCUUGGGCCUGGCUGGCCGGUCCGCCUCACCGCGUGUACUGGUCCGGCCGGGCCUUUCCUUCUGGGGAGCCKCAUGCCCUUCACUGGGSGUGUYGGGGAACCAGGACUUUUACUUUGAAAAAAUUAGAGUGUUCAAAGCAGGCCUUUGCUCGAAUACAUUAGCAUGGAAUAAUAGAAUAGGACGUGUGGUUCUAUUUUGUUGGUUUCUAGGACCGCCGUAAUGAUUAAUAGGGAUAGUCGGGGGCAUCAGUAUUCAAUUGUCAGAGGUGAAAUUCUUGGAUUUAUUGAAGACKAACUACUGCGAAAGCAUUUGCCAAGGAUGUUUUCAUUAAUCAGUGAACGAAAGUUAGGGGAUCGCGAUC